CAGUCGCCGCGGUAAUACGAGGGGUGCAAGCGUUAUUCGGAUUGAUUGGGUGUAAAGGGUGUGCAGACGGCUUAUUAAGUCACUUGUUAAAUUCUUCGGCCUAACUGAAGGUCCGCAAGUGAUACUGAUGAGCUAGAGGGUGGAAGAGAGAAGUGGAAUUCUCGGAGUAGCGGUAAAAUGCGUAGAUCUCGAGAGGAACACCAAUGGCGAAGGCAGCUUCUUGGUCCAUUCCUGACGUUCAUACACGAAAGCGUGGGGAGCAAACAGGAUUAGAUACCCGCGUAGUCCCUGUCUCUUAUAC
rnacentral:rRNA from 1 species